UGAAAGGAUUGUUCAAAUUGAGUUAUUUUCUAAUGAGUGUUAUAUUAAAAGGGGUACACCAAAAGCUAGUUGGGUUACAAGAUAAUAGUUCCAUCAUUGGAUCGAUUUUUAUCCUAAGAGGUAGAGGAAUUUCUUGGUCAUCUAAGAAACAAUGCUCCAUAAUAGGAUCCACUAUGGCACUAUAUGAAUAUGACUAGGCCAAAGCGUCUCAUAUUCUCUAUAUGUAUGUGUAUAUCAACUUUACAAUUUCUUAUCCUUGGAAGAAAAAAAAUUAUGCACAUAUACCCGUUGUGCGUGUGCCAGCUACUUUUCGUCUCUUUUUAUUGUUUCUUUCUUCAUUUUCUUCUCUUCCAUUUCUACUUUCAUGUUAUUUCUUUCUUUUCUUUAGGUGAUUCUUCCACACUGCUAAAGUACAGCUCCAUGCAUGAGGCUCCAACCAUUAUAAAGUUUGGAGAGAGUCGGAUGUAUACAACUUUAUCUUAGUGUAAGAAGCUCCAUAUUCUCCUACCUGC
rnacentral:lncRNA from 1 species